rnacentral:rRNA from 1 species
AGAGUUUGAUCCUGGCUCAGGAUGAACGCUAGCGGCAGGCUUAACACAUGCAAGUCGAGGGGCAGCAUAAUGGAUAGCAAUAUCUAUGGUGGCGACCGGCGCACGGGUGCGUAACGCGUAUGCAACCUACCUUUAACAGGGGGAUAACACUGAGAAAUUGGUACUAAUACCCCAUAAUAUCAUAGAAGGCAUCUUUUAUGGUUGAAAAUUCCGAUGGUUAGAGAUGGGCAUGCGUUGUAUUAGCUAGUUGGUGGGGUAACGGCUCACCAAGGCGACGAUACAUAGGGGGACUGAGAGGUUAACCCCCCACACUGGUACUGAGACACGGACCAGACUCCUACGGGAGGCAGCAGUGAGGAAUAUUGGUCAAUGGACGCAAGUCUGAACCAGCCAUGCCGCGUGCAGGAUGACGGCUCUAUGAGUUGUAAACUGCUUUUGUACGAGGGUAAACGCAGAUACGUGUAUCUGUCUGAAAGUAUCGUACGAAUAAGGAUCGGCUAACUCCGUGCCAGCAGCCGCGGUAAUACGGAGGAUUCAAGCGUUAUCCGGAUUUAUUGGGUUUAAAGGGUGCGUAGGCGGUUUGAUAAGUUAGAGGUGAAAUUUCGGGGCUCAACCCUGAACGUGCCUCUAAUACUGUUGAGCUAGAGAGUAGUUGCGGUAGGCGGAAUGUAUGGUGUAGCGGUGAAAUGCUUAGAGAUCAUACAGAACACCGAUUGCGAAGGCAGCUUACCAAACUAUAUCUGACGUUGAGGCACGAAAGCGUGGGGAGCAAACAGGAUUAGAUACCCUGGUAGUCCACGCAGUAAACGAUGAUAACUCGUUGUCGGCGAUACACAGUCGGUGACUAAGCGAAAGCGAUAAGUUAUCCACCUGGGGAGUACGUUCGCAAGAAUGAAACUCAAAGGAAUUGACGGGGGCCCGCACAAGCGGUGGAGCAUGUGGUUUAA